rnacentral:rRNA from 1 species
UACGGAGGGGGCAAGCGUUGUCCGGACUUACUGGGCGUAAAGGGUGCGUAGGCGGUUGCAUGCGUCCGCGCUGAAAUCCCGAGGCUCAACCUCGGGGCGCGUGCGGAUACGAUGCGACUUGAGGCUCGGAGAGGGUGGGAGAACUCCUGGUGUAGUGGUGAAAUGCGUAGAGAUCAGGAAGAACAUCGGUGGCGAAGGCGCUCUGCUGGACCAUAACUGACACUCAGGGACGAAAGCUAGGGGAGCGAAUGGG